rnacentral:rRNA from 1 species
AUGGCGGAGGAACCGUUCGCCAAGCGUCAUCAUGGCGAGCCGUCGGACAAGAACAACAACCUCGUCGAUGUUCACGUCCCCGGUGAGAAGCGCGAGUACACGAGUACCCUCACAGGGGUUGAGCUCCACGGCAAGGAGACGCUGGAGAUCGUCUGCACCAGCAAACCAGACAAGGCUGACCAGGUGAUGAGCAGGCUCGGGAUGAAGGGCGGCGGCUUGUAUCAAAGCUUCAUCGGAGUUGAUGUGGAGCCCAAGCGCCUCAAAGACUUCCUGCUGGAGGAGAAAUUGUACACAUUUGUCGGUUUCAGCAUUGGAGGCGACAAGCGGAUGCUGAACAAGUCUGGUUUGGAGAUCAACCCCAACAACUUCAUUGACAUGCAGCGCAAGUGGAAAGAUCCAAAGACCAGCAAAUACUACGACUCCUUGGCCGAUGUUGCAGGCGGUGUAAUCUACCCAUUCUAA